rnacentral:lncRNA from 13 species
GGAAGGUAAGAAAUCCAGGGCUGGACCAGUCUUCCACUUGGUCAGCAUGCCAUUUUUCUGGGCUGUCAUCCCCAACCACAGAUUCAUUCAUUCAUUCAUUCAUUCAUUCAUUCAUUCAUUCAUUCAUUCCUGUAUGCCUGUCAGGUGCUGGGGUUACAAAGGCAAAGCUCGAAGUUGAAUAACAGAUGAUACCUUGAAGAGGUGACAUCUGUGAAGUGUGGCAGGUGCAUAGGAGCAUACCUUGCUGGGAGAAGGCUGGGGUGGUCAGGAGGUGAGGCCUGGGCUGCUGCUCACAGAGGUAUGACAGGCACGAGGUAUCCCUGGUACGAGGUAUCCCUGGUACGAGGUAUCAGCAGGCACAUGCAAGAGGGUGCUGAGAGAUGGAGCUGGACAGGCCAGGAGAGGUGUGGCUCUGCUAGCUGGGUGGGGUGGUUUGGAUUUCUUCCAGAAGACAACAGAGAGAUUAUGCAGGAAUUUAAGCAGCAGUGUGGAGGGAUCAGCUCCACGGUUUAGAAAGAUUAUCUGGGCAGUAGAGAGAAUGGUCUGGAAAGGGUAGGUCCGGGAGGAGACAGCAGUAACUCAGGCUAUGCAUGUAGAGAAGAAGUAGGGAUAGGGAGAGGCGAACAAGUUCUAGAAGUUUCUGGAAGGCCUCAGCCCCCAGUCAUGCCUACAGACUGAGCCCAGCCUAGCUCAUCUCAGAUACAGCGUCUAAUUCAAGUCCUAUGCGGGGCCCAGGCCUCUACUUUGACGUGUGCUCAGUGCAGCCCUUGACCCCAGCAGUCCAGCUGGGGACUGUGCACCCGUCCAGAGAAUCCCAACCCCAAUCUGCCGCCCUCAUCCCAGCGGGAUGCUCAGCCUACGGACCUUGGCCUUUCUCUGGGGGACGAGUGAGCUGCGCUGCCCGCUCCCCGCAGCAGGUGGCGCCGUCUUGCUGGGAUUGGACUCUGCCUUCACCGGCCCGGCUGGGAAGCGCUUGGUGGAGCGGGACGCAACGGGGACGUCCGGGGGGCACCCGUCCUGUGCACGCCGCCGGGGCUCUCACGGGGCCUCCCUGCUCCAAUCACUCCCGCCCCUUCCUCCCUUCCGGUCCUCCCCGGCCCUCCAUUCCUGCUUUCCGCUGGGAUCCCAGAGAGGGUCUGAUGGAGUCUCACUGUGUCACCCAGGCUGGAGUGAGUGCCCUGAUCAUGGCCACUGCAGCCCUGACCACCUGGCCUCAAGUGAUCUUCCCACCUUAUCCUCUCGAGUAUCUGGGACUAUAGGCCUGCACUACCACACCCAGCUAAUUUUUAAAAUGUUUGUAGAGAUGGGGCUUGCUGUGUUGCUCAGGCUGCUCUUGAACUCCUGGUCUCAAGUGAUCCUCCCACCUUGGCCUCCCAAAGUGCUAGGAUUACAGGUGUGAACCACCCAACUUAGGCUGAUUUCUUUAAAAAAG